UAGGGAAUAUUGGGCAAUGGACGCAAGUCUGACCCAGCCAUGCCGCGUGCAGGAUGAAGGCCUUCUGGGUUGUAAACUGCUUUUAUCUAGGAAGAAAAAACCCUUGCGAGGGGAACUGACGGUACUAGGUGAAUAAGCACCGGCUAACUCCGUGCCAGCAGCCGCGGUAAUACGGAGGGUGCAAGCGUUGUCCGGAUUUAUUGGGUUUAAAGGGUGCGUAGGCGGCCCGUUAAGUCCGUGGUGAAAGCCAACAGCUCAACUGUUGAACUGCCAUGGAUACUGACGGGCUUGAGUACAGACGAGGUAGGCGGAAUGGAUGGUGUAGCGGUGAAAUGCAUAGAUACCAUCCAGAACACCGAUUGCGUAGGCAGCUUACUAGGCUGUAACUGACGCUGAGGCA
rnacentral:rRNA from 1 species